rnacentral:rRNA from 1 species
UCAGGGGGGGCCACCC